rnacentral:misc_RNA from 1 species
GAUGAAGAACGUAGCGAAAUGCGAUAAGUAAUGUGAAUUGCAGAAUUCAGUGAAUCAUCGAAUCUUUGAACGCACAUUGCGCCCGCCAGUAUUCUGGCGGGCAUGCCUGUCUGAGCGUCAUUUCAACCCCCAUGCCCCUAGGGCGUGGUGUUGGGGAUCGGCCAAAGCCCGCGAGGGACGGCCGGCCCCUAAAUCUAGUGGCGGACCCGUCGUGGCCUCCUCUGCGAAGUAGUGAUAUUCCGCAUCGGAGAGCGAUGAGCCCCUGCCGUUAAACCCCCAACUUUCCAAGGUUGACCUCAGAUCAGGUAGGAAUACCCGCUGAACUUAAGCAUAUCAAUAAGCGGAGGA